CAUUCACACACAGUAAGUCGCUCUGGAUAAGAGCGUCUGCUAAAUGACUAAAA
rfam:Salmo salar isolate Sally breed double haploid chromosome ssa19, whole genome shotgun sequence.